rnacentral:rRNA from 1 species
UACGUAGGGUGCGAGCGUUAAUCGGAAUUACUGGGCGUAAAGCGUGCGCAGGCGGUUCGUUAAGUCAGAUGUGAAAGCCCCGGGCUCAACCUGGGAAUGGCAUUGGAAACUGGUCAGCUGGAGUGUGGCAGAGGGGGGUGGAAUUCCGCGUGUAGCAGUGAAAUGCGUAGAGAUGCGGAGGAACACCGAUGGCGAAGGCAGCCCCCUGGGCCAACACUGACGCUCAGGCACGAAAGCGUGGGGAGCAAACAGG